CCUACGGGUGGCAGCAGUCGAGAAUCAUUCACAAUGGGGGAAACCCUGAUGGUGCGACGCCGCGUGGGGGAAUGAAGGUCUUCGGAUUGUAAACCCCUGUCAUGUGGGAGCAAAUUAAAAAGAUAGUACCACACGAGGAAGAGACGGCUAACUCUGUGCCAGCAGCCGCGGUAAUACAGAGGUCUCAAGCGUUGUUCGGAAUCACUGGGCGUAAAGCGUGCGUAGGCUGUUUCGUAAGUCGUGGUGGAAAGGCGCGGGCUCAACCCGCGGACGGCACAUGAUACUGCGAGACUAGAGUAAUGGAGGGGGAACCGGAAUUCUCGGUGUAGCAGUGAAAUGCGUAGAUAUCGAGAGGAACACUCGUGGCGAAGGCGGGUGCCUGGACAUUAACUGACGCUGAGGCACGAAGGCCAGGGGAGCGAAAGGGAUUAGAUACCCUGUAGUC
rnacentral:rRNA from 1 species